GACUCACAUGCUCAAGAUGCUGCCCAAUCUUCAUGGGCUCUCUUGUGUUUGUGUUAGUAGGGUUAAUGCAUGUUCUGCUUGUGUGUGUGAUUUUGUAUAUGUUUCUUUUUGUAGUGUUUCAGACUCCUUCACAAUUUUCCACUUAAGCAGUCAGUUUUCUUUUCCCCAGGUUUGCUAACCCAAAUUUUGAUUUCCCACAUUAAACAACAGCUUUCCUCUGUGUCCUUACUUACUCUCACUCUGUUGUCCUCUCCCACUUGAACAGUCCAACAGCCGGCAGUUCUUCUUCAGCUUUGUCCUGUGUCCCACUGUCUCUUCUUGCCAUCUUGCUCCGAAAGUGGCAAAUGUCAAACUCCAACAGUCUCCUCAGUUUUCCUCAAACGUCCUUUUCACAAGCACAGUGACUUUGCAGCUUGUUGGAAACACAGUGUCAUUCAUCCAAUCAGUCAGGAUGAUGGUUUGCUCUUCUUCUCCACUGCUGUUUGUCCACACUGCUGCUGCUUGCUGGGUCUCUUUGCUCAGGACUUUGCUGCUGUCUCUUUAUCUGCCAUGUUAUUGCUCUUUGGAACUGCAUUCCUUGUCUUCAGGGAGGAGUGAGAGCUCACUUGUGAGGAUGAGGGACACAUGGUGCUGUAAAUAAAUUAGCCAAAAAUUGGCCUGAACAUUUCCAAUGAUGUUAAACUAUAACUUUUGUCCGACCGCUGCAUAUGGGAAAUUGAUCCGGGUCUGCUCCUCACCUGCAAGUGACACACUGAGACAUUUUGAUCAUUAUUCUCAUUACUUAACCAACACACAGAACUCUCCUUUCUUAAAAGCAGAAAAUAAGAUUGUAGUUGUUCUUGGCUAAUAAACACAAAACUUUUUCCUAUUAUUUUCCAUCUACAAUGUAGAUUUUGUCUCUGUUUUACUCGUUUUUUACUCUACACUUUUUUUUCCUUUACACUAGCUGGUGACCUGCAGAAUCACCGCUCUCACAAUUGGAGACAAUUACGUUUACACAGCGCACACACACACUGCGACGUCAGGCACAUUCACACUCACUUUUCCAUCUGCAUAAAUAAAUCAUACGGCUGAUGAUUUGUGCCAUGGUGAUCCAUAAGUAUGAUCACAGGUUUAUUUAAUUAUUUUUCAACCCAACAAAGCAAAUAAACAAAAACAUGAUGCUGAUGCUAUGAACACUCUACACACAUGAAUCAAGAUCCAGGAAAACUGCUGCGCAUCUGAAAGAAGAAGCUGAACUCACGGAUACGCUACAUACUCGAGUUAUCAUAGUUCUGUUUCUCUCUCUUUGAUGAGUUCUCAGCCAGCUCCUGAUCUGAUAAUGUGUAGCUUGCUCAUCAGCUCAGAAGAGACAGCAACACAACCUCACACAGCGGUUGCGUGCUUUGCCCACAGUGGCAAAGACUUACACUUUCAUAUUCAACUCAGCUUCUCCAUCAUGUAGUCUUCAG
ensembl:lncRNA